ACACGUGUUAUAUUUGAUUCUUUCAGCGUGCACCACAUGGAGUUGGUGGUGGGGGUCAUCCUAGUGGGGGAGUGGGGAGACAGGGCCCCACAAGAGGUCCAGCACAUGGCUAUGGUGAAGGAAGGGGUCAGUAUUAUGCACCCAAAGCAUCUGCCCCACCAGCUAGUUACAGUCGUACAAAUCACCCAGAACUAUAUGCAGGAGCAUAUGGCGGUCGGAAUGCCUAUGAAAUGCGACAUCAUAAGGUCUGACAACAGUGCACAGAUGACUGUUCAUCACCAUCCCUGUACCAUGGGGAUAGAGGACCACGGAGAUUGUCACAGCCUGUCAUUUUGUCAGAUGUUAAACGAAGAAAAGGGAGCAGUGCAGGCUUCCUUGCUAGAUUCCCACCAGCAGAUGCAGGAAACAGGAAGAUGAGCACACGAUUACAUCAGACUCCACCUGAAAGUUUGGUUCAACUGCAUCCGCUUGUGUUGAUACAUCAUUCCCCCCGUCAGGUGGCAGCUACUUUGGCCAUGUUCUGAGAAUCAGUUUCAGUUAAGUAGCCAUGGCAGCAAAUAAGACAGGACUGAUACAAUCAUUGUUUGUCAUUAUAGUCAUUUGUAAAUAUAGAGAUCAGUACCUCUUUGUGAUUUGUGACCAAAAAUGAGUAAAUCUUUAAAGUAAUGGAUAUCGUGCUUGAAAGAGGUUAAAAUAGUGGUCUGGGGUGAUGUGUGUUUGAACCGUAUUGGUGGAUAUAAACUUGAUCAUUUUCUCUUCACAUGUUUCAGUUAUUAAGUCAUCAAUGUUUGCUGAAUCUUUUAGCAAGAACAAAGAACUGUGGCUCAGGUAGGGACAUUUUUAAUAUCAAUAUUUAUCUUUGUUCAUGCAUAAUCAAUAUUAAAGAAAUCCGUUUUUUUAAUCCAGAGUUUUAAGUUUUGUAUACUUGUUGGUUUUUAAGACUUUGCCAGUCAUUACAAAGUGGAAAGUAAUUCAUGAAGCAGAAAUAUCAUAAGAAACACAUAGACUUAUUCAGAAUACGUUGAACUCCAUUUUGCAACAUUCCAGCGGUGUUAAACAUCACAUUUCUAUCCUUGCCAUGUUGGUUCUAAGUGGGGAAUCUCUUGCCUAAUAUAAUUUGGUCAAAAAUGGCAGUUGUGUGUUAUUUUGAACUAAGCCUAAACUGUUACCGGUAAGAAAAUUGAGAGUUUUGUAGUUAGUAUUGGUAUUCUUUACAUGCAGUAUUGGAAUAUGUGAAUAGUAUUACUAUGUUGAACACAUCUCACUUUUAUGAUUUAUUGUUGCUACUCAAGAUAAUAUAUUAAUAUGAUUUUGUUAUACUUUUCAGUACAACCCUCUUAAAAUAAUGUUUAAACACAUUAAUGUCAUCUCCCUUGUUCCCUCUCCAAAAUGUUAACUUUUUAAAAGGGUUUUGCUUUGUGAGGUAAACUGUUUUAAAAACUAAUUCCUCAAUAAAAUGACAUUAAUUUGUAAGGACUUUGGUUUAUUAAUUGCCAAAUCAUGCUUUAAUGCAUAAGGUGCAGUGCAACUAAAUAUGUAUAUGUUGCAGAGAAUUGGUCAUUAUUGAAAAACAGUCCAUCUGCCUGAAGUUGAAGCUUUCCUGAUGUUUUUAAGAAAUUCUAGUGUAAGAUUUUGGAGAUUUGAAUGUCUCUUAAUUUUCAUUGUAUGUCCAUAAUAAUUUUGAGAAACUGUCACAUAUUUGUUUCUUUUGUAGAUGUGAGAAAGAUUACCUUAUUCAAUGAUUAAUAGAAAUAUACACCCAUGUGUAAAAUAGCUGAGAUAACAUAUGAAAUACACUAAAAUAUUUUAACCAUACAUUUACUUUCUGUAGUCUUUUCAUCCAUUUUAUACAGGAUAACAGAAAUAAGAUGAAACACAUUUUAACUUCCAUUACAAUUUUUAUUGUUGUAGUAGGUGUUGUAAAUGUUUUUCUAAACUAUUUGGACCCUUUUCACUUGAUUGCUUAAAACAUUGUGUUUGCAAUAUUAAUUUUCAGCUGCCCAGUGAUUCUCAUUUGGAGCAUCUUUAAAUAAUAUUACAGGCAAAAUUUGCAGCUUUAUAGGUCUGAAGAUACACACUUGGUGCCAGAAUUUUUUAGAAAUAAAUUUUUUUGCAAACAAAUAAUUGAGAUUGUUUUUGACUCUGGCUGUAUGAGUACAUUGGUUUUAUCUUUAAAGUAUCCUUUUAUCAAUUUAUCAUAAAGCUAUGGAAUUAUCAGUUCAUAUAUUAAACUGGUGUACUGUUUUGAUUUUACUGUAGUAUAAAAAUAUUGAUUUUAUGAUAUACUAGAAGGAAAUUGCACACCAGAUAUUGACUCUUUGAUCAUACAAUGGAAGUUCUAUAUCAGGUUUCUAUGCAGUCCAUUACUAGUUAUUUUGAGAAUUCAUAUAACGUGACAAGUUCUGACUUGCUUCAUGUGUUAAUAAUGUGCUUAAUAGUGCAAUGAUUUUGAAACCAGUGUCUAUUCUAGGAACUUUCUAAAACCUGAUGCAGUUAAUUGAGAAACUGGGUUUACCUUGCAUGGAUUCAAAGCCAGUGAGUAUAGCUGAUCUAUAAAACUGACUAGCCAGUGAGCAAAGUCAGAGUUCCAGGAGAAGUUAUGUAUUGCGUGGAUUAAUGUGGCAGAGUUUAAUGAAGCAUUCUGCCAGUCUGCUGCAUUAAUUAAACUUAAGUAUUCCUUAAUGGGUAUGUCUCUGAAAAUGUCAUGUUUUAAACUCGGUGUGCUACUUAUUCCAAUACUGAUGUUGGGAAUUUCAAUAAUGAAGUCAUACAUGAACAUUAUAAAUUAUCAUUAUCUUAUUUAAGUUACAAUAUGAUACGUGUUCUUGAGCUGGCAUAGGUCAGUCACUAUAGUGACUGGCUAUGGACUGGACAACCAGGGUUCGAUCCCCAAUGGGGACAACUUUCCUUUCCUCACAUGUUCUUAUAUUUGAUAUUUGAAAUGAAUGUUAAUAUGAGGAAGGUGUAUGUUACUGAUAACAUAUUUCUUAGUGCAGAGAAGUUAUCUCAGGUGUGAGAAUGGCGUUAAUAUGCCAAUAUUUCAGAGACUUUCUGCUGUCUCCAUUAUCAAGGUUUUCUUGACUACAUGGAUAUUGGUGGAGGCAGAAACAUUAUUAUGAAACAUUGAAUAUUAACUGUAUUCACACAAUGGCUGAUCAUUCACCUGAGGAGACGGACAUCCCUGCAUUCAGUCAUCAUGAAAGCUUCAAAUGUCUUAUAUUUCUUAGUGUGUGGCCAUCGUGUAUGUGGUGUGAAGAGAACUUUACGUGAUCAUUAAAGUAAAAUCCUUUGACUAACCAGUUUAAGAUCAUCAUUACUGUAGAUUCUCAUUAUUGAAUCUAAGAUUCAGAGUUAUGUAGUCAUAUAUAUAUAUAUAUAUUUUAUAGACAGCAAUACCAAAAAUGUUGUUCAAACCAAAUCAAAGGACAGAAUGAACAGUAGAGAACAAAAUUGUUUUUAAGAAAAAGGGAGAAAUAAAAAUUUUCAUAGUUGGAAAAUUAAUAUCACAGCUAUAGAUUUGACAUUUGUGGCAUGUAUGUGGUAUAGCAACAUGAAAUUGUUUCUGUAACUGUUUCUUCAUUGAAAAUACUCUGUUAUGUGGUUUGCUUGCUCAGAUAAAAAAGUAAAUGCAACUUGGGGUGUUGGUGUUGUGGAUGGAAGCAAAUCAAAGAUAUGUAAUUAUAAAUAUUGCAUGCAUGUUUACAGUAACAUUGGAAAGAAUGUAAUAUGUAAUAAGAUUUCUUGUAAAUAAGUUAUAAAUAUGUUGGUUAAUUUUUUAACAUGCAACCUUGUGAAACUUCUGUACCAUAGAUUUGUCUGUAUGUUGAUUUGUAAAUGAAGUUUAAGAAAGUUUUAGUAUGGGGAACCUGGAGAUAUUGAUGACCCUGAAUGAAAUUGUGGCUUCUUUUGAGGUGUGGUCAUUAUAAGCUAAACAGCUCAUUCCAGUAUAUUAUUUGUUUUUAAUUAUAUUGCAUGUUUGGCCACAUGGUUCCUAAGUCAUUUGGUUUUUUUUUAAUUUCAUACAGAUCUUGUGUUCAGACUACCAAGGCUUGAAUAGUUGUGUAUUACAGUUGUAUUGAAAGAUAUUUAGUUACUUUGUCUUUUAUUUGUUUUAUUAUAAAAUAAUGCUUCCCUUUCAUCUCACUCUUCACACAUAAAUCCAUGUAUGUACAUAAUAUAUAUGUGUAUGGAUGUUUCUUUUCCAUUUUGUGAACCAUGUAAAAAAAAGUUUACCAGCUAGUAACAAACCAUAGAAGAAAACAAAAAUAUAGACUAAGAGGAGAAGCAUUACAGUCAAUGUUAUGUUUGAGUACUUUUGUGUACUGUGCUUUGCCACAUUUUUUUCCUUCAGAUAUUAUAACGUGCAGUUGUUCUCUUUUAUUCCAAAAGUCUCUUCUUUAAAUGUCAAAGAUGUGAAGUAUUUUAAGGUGAAAAAAGCCAUUUUUUGUCACACCCAAGUGUCCUUUUUUGAUCACUCCAUGGAACUUUCACGUAUAUAUAGAAGUAUAUAAAUAAAUAAUAAUGAAAACAGUUCAGCUGGUUAAAUGAUGUUGCUUGCAAGAAGCAUAUGGUUCUACAGUUUUGUUAUUCACUUGAUAAAUUAUCUUUUUCUCUCUCAGUGUAAACAUUGUUGUAUUUAAAGACGUGAAUGACCAAUUGCUGUUUUCUCCAUGAUAAAUGUCCUCAAUUCCCUUUUAUGCCCAACUUCCUCCUCCUAUACCCAAGUAUGUCCUCUCCUCAGCCUAUUUAACAUGACAUUUUGAUAAUGUAAUGUAUGGAUAUUUCUGAUAUGUUAAUUGUGAUUUAAAAUUGUAAAGAAAGGAUAUUAAGAUUAAAGAACACAUUUUACAGUA